GCAGGAGAUUCAGAGGUUUCCAAAAAUAUGGGAAACUGCAAUUACAGAAAAGUCACUGUAUAUAUCACUGUGUCAUUACACAGCUGAGACAUCCAACUUUUGAAUGAUUUGUUCAUGUGCUGAUAUAGCAAAAUUAUUUACUAGAAUAUUAUGUAAAAAAAUAAAUGCAACAACUUAUGGAAGAUUUUAGUAAAAUUCAUUCACUAAAAUACUCCUUUUCAGAAAAAGAAAUCAACCAUGAAUCAGUGUGCAAGCGUCCUUGGAAAUAAGUCCAGAACUGGACCAAGAGAUUUUGCUCCUAGAGGAAAUGGACAAGAUGUAAUCUCUGCAGUCCAUGUACACAAAAUGACUGUCAGGUAAUUGAAUUUCCCACCAUCAUGAAGAGCCAACCAAUGAUGACGUGUGACAGAGUCCCAAGCCAUUCAGGAAGCAAAUCCUAGCUGAACUGUUUCUGGACCAUCAGGAGCUGGUGCGGGUUUCCUGAAUAGCUGUCAAAUGAAAUAAAAAUGUUCUGCAUUUGCAA